GUCGUUUCUGGAAGGAAAACUAAGAGAGAGGUGAGGGAGGUUUUCUUUUUCAGUUUCACAGAUUUAUCCCAUCAUGUCCUCACGCGCCCUUUCAGAUAAAGCUGCUCUCACUGUGAAAAGAAACAAAUAGAGAGCUUCCAAUGGAAAGCCUUGAGCUGCAUGCAUGUCCUCUCUGUGUUCUUUAAACUCCAUCCCCCCCUCCUCACCUGGGAGGCUCUUGCAGGAGACGACAGGUGUCACUGUAUCCUUGCGCUUCGGCUGCGCCCUCAUGCGUCAACAAACUCCGCAAAAUCCUCCUGUUUACCCCAAAACACUGAGUCAGGUCAGAUUCUGUCAACCCAGACAGACGGGAAUAUCAGGCUGGCUCGAGCUCUGCGCGCGAGAGCAGGUGUGUCACAGGGGAGACCGGGGUUAGUUGGCACGCGUUCACUUCCGUACAAAUAGGUGUGUGUGACGUCAGGCAGCCCUUUGCUUAAGUGCAUGUCAAACUCUGUGCAGAUCUGUGUCCGGUCCGUCUCCGAUCUGCUGCAGUCCGGCUCUGUGGUCUCUCGUCUGUCAACCCCCACUGGCUGCGUUUUCAGGACACAGCAGUAAUUCCUGAAUCAAGGAUUCUCCUCCUCCUCCUCUCCUCAUCCAUGUUGUCUUUCUGGUCCUCUGAAAACCUCUGACCUGUUGACCCCAGGCCUG